rnacentral:rRNA from 1 species
UGCAUGGUUGUCGUCAGCUCGUGUCGUGAGAUGUUGGGUUAAGUCCCGCAACGAGCGCAACCCUUGUCUUUAGUUGCCAUCAUUAAGUUGGGCACUCUAGAGAGACUGCCAGGGAUAACCUGGAGGAAGGUGGGGAUGACGUCAAAUCAUCAUGCCCCUUAUGCUUAGGGCUACACACGUGCUACAAUGGGUAGUACAGAGGGUUGCCAAGCCGUAAGGUGGAGCUAAUCCCUUAAAGCUACUCUCAGUUCGGAUUGUAGGCUGAAACUCGCCUACAUGAAGCUGGAGUUACUAGUAAUCGCAGAUCAGAAUGCUGCGGUGAAUGCGUUCCCGGGUCUUGUAC